GCGGACGGGUGAGUAACGCGUGAGAAUCUGCCCUCAGGACGGGGACAACAGCUGGAAACGGCUGCUAAUACCCGAUGUGCCGAGAGGUGAAACAUUUAUGGCCUGAGGAUGAGCUCGCGUCUGAUUAGCUAGUUGGUGGGGUAAAAGCCUACCAAGGCGACGAUCAGUAGCUGGUCUGAGAGGAUGAUCAGCCACACUGGGACUGAGACACGGCCCAGACUCCUACGGGAGGCAGCAGUGGGGAAUUUUCCGCAAUGGGCGCAAGCCUGACGGAGCAAGACCGCGUGCGGGAGGACGGCCUAUUGGUUGUAAACCGCUUUUGAUAGGGAAGAAGUUCUGACGGUACCUAUCGAAUCAGCAUCGGCUAACUCCGUGCCAGCAGCCGCGGUAAUACGGAGGAUGCAAGCGUUAUCCGGAAUUAUUGGGCGUAAAGCGUCCGUAGGUGGUUGUUCAAGUCUGCUGUUAAAGCGUGCGGCUUAACCUGCAUACCAGCAGUGGAAACUGGGCAACUAGAGUGCGGUAGGGGUCAGGGGAAUUCCCAGUGUAGCGGUGAAAUGCGUAGAUAUUGGUAAGAACACCGGCGGCG
rnacentral:rRNA from 1 species